UACGAAGGGUGCAAGCGUUAAUCGGAAUUACUGGGCGUAAAGCGCGCGUAGGUGGUUCGUUAAGUUGGAUGUGAAAGCCCCGGGAUCAACCUGGGAACUGCAUCCAAAACUGGCGAGCUAGAGUAUGGCAGAGGGUGGUGGAAUUUCCUGUGGAGCGGUGAAAGGAGUCGCUAUAGGAAGGAACCACAGGGGCGCAGGCGACCACCUGGGCGAAUACUGACACUGAGGUGCGAAAGCGUGGGGAGCAAACAGGAUUAGAUACCCCCGUAGUCC
rnacentral:rRNA from 1 species